ACCAAGUUAAUACCUAAUACAAAGUGUGAAUAACUAUACUUCACAAUAUUUCUUAUCAUUUUAUUACUGGGAAAUUUACUUUGAAAUAAGAUAAGGUUUUCCGUAUUAUACAUAUAGACAGGCAUAACCAUAAUACCUUUACUUUAUUUUGAAAUUCACUUACAUAUUGAAGUAUAUGUGUUGUGCAGGAAAUGAAGUAGAAUUGAGGAUAUCCUCGAUUGCUGCGAGAACGAGAUCGUGAACGCGAAGGUUUGCUACGCUUACGCUUUGUUUUAUUACGGAGUGACAUUUUGUCAUCAGAAUCAUCAGCUGUUACUUAAAACGAGUCUAAUUUGAUUUGUGGGUAUGUAGGCAAAUCCCACUUCUGAUUAUAGCAAUUAAAGUCAAAUUAUAUUAAAAAAGCAAUCGAGUGAUACAAAUUUGUUGUAUCACUCGAUUGGUUUUUUUUGGUUCAAAAGUUAAAUAAUGCAAUAUCAAUAUUCGGAUUUAAGAAACUAUUAUUAUUAUUAUUAUUGUUAUU